CUGCGGCGGAUUAGCUAGUUGGUGGGGUAACGGCCUACCAAGGCGAUGAUCCGUAGGGGGCGUGAGAGCGUGGCCCCCCACACUGGCACUGAGACACGGGCCAGACUCCUACGGGAGGCAGCAGUGAGGAAUAUUGCACAAUGGGCGGAAGCCUGAUGCAGCAACGCCGCGUGAGGGACGAAGGCCUUCGGGUCGUAAACCUCUUUUCUGGGGGACGAGUAAGGACGGUACCCCAGGAAUAAGUCUCGGCUAACUACGUGCCAGCAGCCGCGGUAAAACGUAGGAGGCGAGCGUUAUCCGGAUUUACUGGGCGUAAAGCGCGCGCAGGUGGCUUCGUGAGUCGGACAUGAAAGCUCCUGGCUUAACUGGGAGAGGCUGUUCGAUACUGCGGGGCUUGAGGUUGGGAGAGGGACGCGGAAUUCCCGGUGUAGUGGUGGAAUGCGUAGAUAUCGGGAGGAACACCAGUGGCGCAAGCGGCGUCCUGGCCCACACCUGACGCUGAGGUGCGAAAGCGUGGGUAGCAAACAGGAUUAGAUACCCUGGUAGUCCACGCUGUAAACGAUGUCAACUGGGUGUCGGUAGUUUUACACUAUCGGUGCCGAAGCUAACGCG
rnacentral:rRNA from 1 species